AGAUGGCGACCGGCGCACGGGUGAGUAACACGUAUCCAACCUGCCGAUAACUCGGGGAUAGCCUUUCGAAAGAAAGAUUAAUACCCGAUGGCAUAAUAGAACCGCAUGGUCUGAUUAUUAAAGAAUUUCGGUUAUCGAUGGGGAUGCGUUCCAUUAGGCAGUUGGUGGGGUAACGGCCCACCAAACCUUCGAUGGAUAGGGGUUCUGAGAGGAAGGUCCCCCACAUUGGAACUGAGACACGGUCCAAACUCCUACGGGAGGCAGCAUG
rnacentral:rRNA from 1 species